rnacentral:misc_RNA from 1 species
GAGAGCCGGAUGCGGGCGAUCUGCAUGUCCGGUUCGAUGAGCGAGAUGUGGAAACGGAGUCACGGUCGAACUACUAAG